ACACGUAUUAAACCCAUAGAUAUCAUAUCUAUGAUUAAACAAUUCUAAAACAAAACAAAACCAAAGCGUUGUGUCACAGCAUAGGAUUUUACGUAAAGCCUGUAAUUUUAACAAGAGGACACUUUUAUAUGUUAGCAGUGAAUACGUUUUAUUUUUUAGUAUUAGUCUUGACAGGAAGCUAUAUUGACAAGUUAGAAAGGACAACAUUUGGACAAAAUGUAAACAAGUCUAAUUCAUAAAUACAGAAAAACAAGUCGUCAAAAGAUAAGUCGCCCGAAAGGUGGAAUUGAACCACUCUGCCGCUAGGCAGCUACGGGUUUGAAGCCCGCACCCCGGACCACCGAAGCUCAUCCGGGCAUUAGUGGCAAGGCAACCUCUCCCUAUAAAUACUGGGCAGAUGGUUGGUGGCUUCCUCAUACUCUGGAUCUCUUCUUCAGGAGGGGAGCAGCACAUGCUCCCAGCACAGGCUUUUCCACAGGCAAGGCUGCAGGCAGGGAGGGCACGUGGGGACGGGUCGUCUCUGUGGAUGAUGGGGGAGGCAUCUCCCAGGUUGUUUGAGGAGGCUCCAGCACACGAAGUGAACUCUGGCUGAACAGUGCAGCAGCUCACGCCAAUACUUUUCAACACCUUUGAGACUCCUGACAACAGGUCACCACACCUGCACAGAGGAAAAAUCCUAUUAGGAAUGGAAACAGGAUGUUUUCUGGAUUUUUACAAAAAAUCUGUUCACAUGUACAGACAAUCUGGAUCAUUUUUUGGAUGAUUUUGGAAUGCUGCUUUUUAGCAAAAUCCCUGUAAAAGAAAAAAAUGUGAUGCUACUCAACAUAAAAAAUAAUCGCACAUGAACGCCUUCCAAAUCUUUCAAAUAAAGACAAAACAAGAAAUAAAUAUGAUAUAUUUUAGAUGUCAUCCAUCAGUCUGAGCAUCCAAGAAAACUGAGUACAUUUUCAAUACCUAUCUCAAUAAAUGUUUAAGUUGUGCCAUUUUGUU